UCGAAACCUGCAAAGCAAACCCGUGAACAUGUUUUUAAUAUGUUUAGGUUCGGGUCGUUGGAUGCCUUGUUGCAGCCACCGUCGCGUUCCUUUCCCCGAUGAUGCACGCUYGCGUGUGUUGUUUGGGUCAACAAACACCCCCGGUGCGGAAUGCACCAAGGAAAACUAUCAUGAGAAUGCUUGCUCCYGCAAGGUAUCGUUUGCGAUGCCAUUGUGUGGGGAAUGUGCCUCUUGAAUCACUAAACGACUCUCGGCAACGGAUAUCUCGGCUCUCGCAUCGAUGAAGAACGUAGCGAAAUGCGAUACUUGGUGUGAAUUGCAGAAUCCCGUGAACCAUCGAGUCUUUGAACGCAAGUUGCGCCCGAAGCCAUUAGGUCGAGGGCACGCCUGCCUGGGCGUCACGCAUCGCGUCACCCCUUCCAACCCCUUUCCUUGGAGAGCGUGGGUGGAUAUGAGGGGAUGGACAUUGGCCUCCCGUGCUCUUUCUGUGCGGCUGGCUUAAAUUUGAUUUCUUGUCGACGGAUGUCACGACUGGUGAUGGUUGAAUCAAUCGCGUACUGUCGUGUGAGACCCCGUCUGGCASUGUACAUCAUUUUUGACCCAAUAGUGCUGUGUGCUUUCGAUU
rnacentral:rRNA from 1 species